rnacentral:rRNA from 1 species
UACUUAGUGGCAGACGGGUGAGUAACAUGUGGGUAUUUACCCUUUGGCCUGGAAUAACACGAGGAAACUUGUGCUAAUACCGGAUAAGUCUUUACGGAGAAAGCUUUAUGCACCAUUGGAUGAGCCCGCACUUGAUUAGUUUGUUGGUAGGGUAAUGGCCUACCAAGACUAUGAUCAAUAGCUGAUUUGAGAGGAUGAUCAGCCACAUUGGGACUGAGACACGGCCCAAACUCCUACGGGAGGCAGCAGUGGGGAAUCUUGCACAAUGGAGGAAACUCUGAUGCAGCGAUGCCGCGUGAGUGAAGAAGGCCUUUGGGUUGUAAAGCUCUUUCGUCGGGGAAGAAAAUGACUGUACCCGAAUAAGAAGGUCCGGCUAACUUCGUGCCAGCAGCCGCGGUAAUACGAAGGGACCUAGCGUAGUUCGGAAUUACUGGGCUUAAAGAGUUCGUAGGUGGUUGAAAAAGUUGGUGGUGAAAUCCCAGAGCUUAACUCUGGAACCGCCAUCAAAACUUUUCAGCUAGAGUAUGAU